UACCAGCACCCCGAGUGGUCGGGACGAUUAUUGGGCCUAAAGCAUCCGUAGCCGGUCCUGCAAGUCUUCCGUUAAAUCCAGCUGCUCAACAGAUGGGCUGCGGAGGAUACUACAGGGCUAGGAGGCGGGAGAGGCAAGCGGUACUUUAUGGGUAGGGGUAAAAUCCGCUGAUCCAUAGAAGACCACCAGUGGCGAAGGCGGCUUGCCAGAACGCGCUCGACGGUGAGGGAUGAAAGCUGGGGGAGCAAACCGG
rnacentral:rRNA from 1 species